rnacentral:rRNA from 1 species
UACGGGGGGGGCAAGCGUUGUUCGGAAUUACUGGGCGUAAAGGGCUCGUAGGCGGCCAACUAAGUCAGACGUGAAAUCCCUCGGCUUAACCGGGGAACUGCGUCUGAUACUGGAUGGCUUGAGAUUGGGAGAGGGAUGCGGAAUUCCAGGUGUAGCGGUGAAAUGCGUAGAUAUCUGGAGGAACACCAAUGGCGAAGGCAGCACUCUGGGACGUGACUGACGCUGAGACGCGAAAGCGUGGGGAGCAAACAGG